rnacentral:tRNA from 1 species
GGGGUUGUAGCUAAGUGGAAUAGUACUCGCCUUGAAUGCGUGAGGUACUGGGUUUGAUCCUCAGCAACAUACA